AAUCAGGAGCGGACUGGCAAGAAAAGCUGUAGGGCUGAGGUGCUUCUCUGUCACAGGAUGGUUGACAAGCCCCAGCUGUGUGUAGCCCAUGGCUGUACUUCAGGCUCCUGCCUGCCAGGGUGAUGGGCUCUGGUUCUGCUUGCAUUCUCCCUCCCCAGCACCUUGGAGCCCCCAUGCUAUCUUCAGGGGGCCAGCCCAGCCUCACUUCCAGCUUCUCGAUCCAGAGCAGGACCAUGCCCUUCAACUCCAUUCAGGCCUCACAGGAGACCUGAUCUCUCCCAUCAACCUCUGGCCUCUGAGUCUAGCCCAGCAGCCCCCACCAGAAGGUGUCCAUGGUUUCUUCUGUGGGGUGCAGAGGGGGGAGUGGGAGGGGCUCCUAGGCCGGAAUACCUGGAUAGAAUGCAGAAGGCUGGAAGUCACAGCUGCCUGUGAUCUCACUGUGUAGGGCAGCAGAGCCACCCGGAGCCAAGUAUUUUUUAGGGGGAGAAAGAGUAAUAGCGAUCUGGUGGCAGCAAGGCACAGACACAGACAAAGUAGGGGCCCCUGCAAGGCUCCCCACUGAGCUGUCACCUGAGGGUGGGCAAGGGCAGGGCUAUACCGGGGGCCACUCAUCUUUCCUGCAGAGCAUCAUGCACCACCACUUCAUCCAGCCACAAGAGCAAGUGCUCAUCAACCGCCAGGAUAUCAUAAACAGAAAGGUGGGCAUGGGCGGGCUGUGGGAUCGGCAGCAACCCGCCAAAUCCGUCCUGCAUUCCGUGAUCUACAGCUAUCCCCUCUAGAGCAGACUCGCAGAGCACUCCUUCCCACCACUCACUGAGAGCAAACAUCCAGGCAGAGGCUACCAUGGUGACAACACCUGCCUUAUGGAAGGUCUCUACCCUCUUCCAGGAUGCCUGGGACAAGCAGGAGUUUGUCCGCAUGUCCAUCCAAUACAUGCUGCAACAUCCAGCCUUCCAUAUUCUGCUGGCCCUGCUGCUGGUGACCAAUGCCAUCACCAUCGCUCUCCGCACCAACUCCUUCCUUGAUCAGGUGUGACGAAAGCCCAACCUCUGUCCCCAUUGGCUCUGGUUUUUUUGGUACCAGGGAUCAAACUCAGGACUUUGCACUUGCAAGGCAGGCUGCAGCACCACUGAGCUAAAUCCCCAGCCGUACUCACAUUGGCUCUGAUGGGGACUAGGUUGGGUGCUUCCUGCUCAUGUUCCUUGUCUGGCUAUUAUGGCUGGAUCGAUGCUCUUCAAGGGUCAGUCCAGCCUGAUCUGCCAGAGAUCUGGAGGUCAGGAAGACUGUGGUGCAGGGGGCUCUGGAGCCUGAUUUGAGGAAAACACUGGAUUUGUAGAAGGGCGGGAAAAGAAUGGUGGGAAUAGAGGCAGACAAAUGGGUACCUUGUGGGGAGUGGUGGCCAAUCUCAAUCAUGGUCACUAAAGGAGAGUCACUCUGGGCCAGGUGCUGACUCUGCUUGGUACCAGGGAUUCAGGUAAAGAACAACAUCACUUCCCAUGUCAGAUGCAGACACACUCUUAUAGUAUUUGAGUAUCAGAGUGUGUGGAGCUCAAAGACAACAAUCAACCCUAACCUGGGAGGUCAGGGAAGGCUCCUUGGUGAGGCUGGCACUUAACCUGAGAGGGAAAAAUGAACAAGAAACUAAAUGUGGUGGUGCAUGCCUAUAAUCCCAGUACUCAGGACGCUGAUGAGUUCGAGGCCAGCCUGGGGUACAUAGUAAGACCCACCUUAAAAUAAAAUUGAGUCAGAGUUAACCACACAAAGUGAGAUAGUGAAGAGGGUAAGAGUGUUUUGGACAAAAGAAAUGGCAUGGGAGAGAUUUCUGUGUGUCCAAUUGAACAUCUAGUGACUUUGGUCUUAUUGAUGUUUUAAUUUCUUACAAAGAGUAUACAUGCAUGUAUUGUGUGAUUUAAAAUCAAUAUGUCAGCCUGUGGGUGUAGCUGAGCAGUAGAGUGCUUGCCUAGCAUGCAUAAAGCCCUGUGUUUGAUCCAUUGAUGCAAAAAUAAGUAUGUCCAGUGUGGUGAUAGCAGAUAAGCUCAAAGAGGUGGGUGGUCAGUGGCCAAAUCACACUUGGUCUCUGUUAUGUCGAGAAAGAUGACCUUUCUCCUUUGUCAUCAGAAAGUGAGGGAAGGGUUUUAAACACUGAAAAAUGAUCAGGCUCAGUUUUUAGAAAAUUUACAGUGGCUGCCACGGUGUGGACUCUGGGGUGGGGCUGGGAGGCUGAGAAUGGAGAAGAUGGGCCAGUGAGGGCUGCUGGGACUCAGAGCAGGAGAAUGGCAGUGGAGAAAGGGGUCAGAAGCACUGGCAGCUCUGUAGGGUUGAAUCCAUGAGCCUUCCUGGUUGAUCACAUUCCCAACUCAUAUGUAGUGAGCACAGGCUUUGUGCCACCUGUGUCAACAACACACGUCCUUAUCUCAGCCAUGCAGACAAAGGGAGAGACGGAAGGUAAGUUCCUGACUGGAGUAGUGGUGUGCUGUGGGGCUGGUGCUGCUUUGGGACACGGUGGAUGUGGGGCACACAGGAGGAAAAGCAGGUCUACAGAGGGUGCAGAGGUCAGGAUGAGCUGUGUGGUGUCUAUGGCCACUGAGGGAUGUUUUUACAGGAGUCUAAGGCCAGGACCAAAAGGAGGUGGAGGGCACUGGCUGGACAUGGUGAGAGUUGUCUACACUCCUGUGCCCAGGCUGAGGAGGGGACACAGUGUCUUGCAAUGUGUUGAUGAGAGAGGAGAGUCAAGACAGAUCCCUAGGAAAGCCUCUGCAUAAGGGCAAGAAGGGAGGUGGAGGCCGAAAGGGAAGCCGAGGAGGAGUGGCCAGUGGGCUCUGGUUCUGGGAUUGCCCAGGAGAUACACCUAGGCAGCAGUUCCAGAUGUGGAGAGAUGUGGCUGAUAAGGUCUAGCAAGCAUCCCCAGGUUUGCAGCACUGACCUGCACAGGAGCCAGCUUUGUAUGGUGGAGGCAGAAAUGUACCUGACAAGUCUGCAGAACAAGCAGAGUGGACAGAGAGGAACAGAGCACAAGCUGCAAAAUGGGCUGUGAAAUCAAUCCAGAGUGCAAAUGCCCCCUUUUUGUUUUGGUGUGCUUUGCUUUGCUUUGUUUUGAGACACUGUAUAGCUCAGGCUGGCCUCAAACUCGCUAUGUAGCCCAGCCAUCCUUGAACUUGCUAUGUAGCCCAAGCAGGCCUUGAGCUUGUGUUCCUCCUGCCUCAGCCUCCUGGGUGCUGGGGUCACAAGCAUGUACCACAACACCCAGCAAGAAGCUUUCUCUGGGCUGAUAGCCAUGGUCCUUGACAGCACUUUGGGAAUUUGAAAGAAGCAAAAACCCCAUUAACCUUAGCCCACAUCUAAGCAGAAGCUCUUAGCAACCUGGCUUCGACUGUGGGUGGGAUGGUGGCAGGAAUAGGCAGCAGGGAAACCCCAUGUGCAGUUGUGAGCUCCAAAGGACCAAGUCUGUUGACCACUGGAAUAAAGGGAGAAGAUGAGCCAGGCAUGGUGGCUUAUGCCUGUCAUCUCAGCACUCUGGGAGAUUGAGGCAGGAAAAUUGCAAGUUCAAGCCCACCCUGGGAAACUUAGCAAGACUGUCUCAAAAUAAAAACUAAAAAGGGCUGAAGAUGUGGCUCAGUGGUACAGUGCCUCUUGGUUUGAUCCCUAGUACCAUUGCACACGUAUACACACACACACACACACACACACACAAACACACACACAGGUUGGGGGGCACAACGUGACUUUGGUGAUACCAGGCUGAAAUGGGUGGGGAGGGUAACAGGCUGUUAGUAGAGGUCACAGAUAUAGGGAAGCUGAAAGAGUAGGCGUGAGGCUAGGCAGAGGUGAGUUGGGUUCGGACAGCUCCUAGUAGUCAUCUACCCAGGGUACCCAUUGCAGGCCCAUAAAAGAAACAGGACACCAGGAACUGGGUUGGGCCUGGGCUGGGGGACUCAGAGUGCUGGAGCAACAGGAAUGGUUGAGACACAUAGAGAAGGGACCUGGGCUUGGUGUCCCCCAGCCUCAGGGGUGAGUCCUCUUCUUCCCACAGCUGGACCUGCUUAGCCUUCCCCACCUCGCUUUCCCAGAUCCUCCUUCCCUAGAGGCUAGGAGCAAUGGGGGCAGAAGUCUUUGGUCAACCGUGAGGUUUUCUGACCUUGACUGAGUGCACUGGACGACUCUCUAGUCCUUGUCUGAAAGAUGGGAGUAGGAGCUGCCUUUUUUUUUUUUUUUUUUUUUUUUUU
ensembl:lincRNA